GUGGGGAAUUGUUCGCAAUGGGCGCAAGCCUGACGACGCAACGCCGCGUGGGGGAUGAAGGUCUUCGGAUUGUAAACCCCUGUCGAGCGGGACGAAUGGCUCACGAGCUAAUCAUCGUGAGAAUGACGGUACCGCUAAAGGAAGCCACGGCUAACUCUGUGCCAGCAGCCGCGGUAAUACAGAGGUGGCAAGCGUUGUUCGGAAUUACUGGGCGUAAAGGGCGCGUAGGCGGCCUCUUUAGUCAGACGUGAAAUCCCCCGGCUUAACCUGGGAACUGCGUCUGAUACUGGGAGGCUAGAGUUCGGGAGAGGGAUGUAGAAUUCCAGGUGUAGCGGUGAAAUGCGUAGAUAUCUGGAGGAAUACCGGUGGCGAAGGCGGCAUCCUGGACCGAAACUGACGCUGAGGCGCGAAAGCUAGGGGAGCAAACGGGAUUAGAAACCCCGGUAGUCC
rnacentral:rRNA from 1 species